GACGAACGCUGGCGGCGUGCUUAACACAUGCAAGUCGAACGGAAAGGCCCUGCUUUUGUGGGGUGCUCGAGUGGCGAACGGGUGAGUAACACGUGAGUAACCUGCCCUUGACUUUGGGAUAACUUCAGGAAACUGGGGCUAAUACCGGAUAGGAGCUCCUGCUGCAUGGUGGGGGUUGGAAAGUUUCGGCGGUUGGGGAUGGACUCGCGGCUUAUCAGCUUGUUGGUGGGGUAGUGGCUUACCAAGGCUUUGACGGGUAGCCGGCCUGAGAGGGUGACCGGCCACAUGGGGACUGAGAUACGGCCCAGACUCCUACGGGAGGCAGCAGUGGGGAAUAUUGCACAAGGGGCGGAAGCCUGAUGCAGCAACGCCGCGUGCGGGAUGACGGCCUACGGGUGGUAAACCGCUUUCGCCUGUGACGAAGCGUGAGUGACGGUAAUGGGGAAAGAAGCACCGGAUAACUACGUG
rnacentral:rRNA from 1 species